UGCAGUUUUAUUUCAAACAUCCCCACUGGAAAGCGGCAUGAAAAAAACAUUUGGGAUGUGAACACUAAGCUUGGUGCAGGUAUUACCAGCAGUGGAAUAGGUUUCUCUAAUUUACAAAUGUUAUUUGCUUCAUUGAAUAUCCCUGGUGUAGCGGCUGGAACAGUCAAGAAAAGAGACAGAGAAGCAGGAAAGGCUAUUGAAUCUGUUGCCAAAAAAAGUUGCAAUGAGGCUCUUGAUGAAGAAAUAAAACUGAAUGAUGGGAAAGUUGAAAUAAGAGUUGCGGCUGAUGCUGGAUGGCAAACAAGAUCUAG